GGGGCUCCUUUGAGGUCGGAGCCCACCGCCCCGCUCCGCCCCGCAGCCACCCUUGUUCAAGAAGGGGCAGCGUUGCUCAGAGCUUGCUGGAUGCUUAAGGCAGACGAGGGGGCCGGGAUCCCAGGCAGAGCGACGGAGUUCAGCCUGGAGUGAGGGUAGGAGAAACCCAAGGAAGGGCUGAGAACGCAGCGCCGAUAGCAGGCGGAAUGAAGCGCGGAGCUCAGCCGGAUCUCAGCAAUCAUCACCCGCUCAAAUUUGAAGGGAGCCCAGCAGGGUGAAAUAUUUGGGUUAUGAAAUCGCUGCUGGAUCCUGAGCCCCGGGAACAACGGGCUGAGAUGGAGCUCCGGGCUUUCCGAGGAUACGAGGCGGUGCUGCCGACCCGACGGAAGGCUGCUCAGAGCCCUCCGUGCCCUGCUGGAGUCCACAGGUCCUCAUACAGGUUGAGGAAGGCAAAUAGGAUCAAGGUUUACCUGCUGCAAUUGGACUCAGCUGUUAGAACAGAAGCUUCUAUUGCGUGCCGUGAGCUUGAAUGUGCGCACAGGCGCCUCAUUAAACAUCGCAUCUCAUUAAACAACUCCUUAUUAAACCCUCCUUGUUAAAGGGGACCCUGCGGUGCUGCAGCCGUCCCUCCUGUGCCGCCCCCUGGCACCCAGGCUUUGGUGCUGUCAGUGUUGGACGUCGUAGGAAAAUAAGUUCCAAAAAACAUCACGGCCUUCAAUCGGUGCUCCUGAAAUGAAGAUCAGAUUCACAGCUGGCAGUCGCUUAAAAGGUAAAAAAAUCCAAACACCAAAAGGCUCCGUGCGUCCAGCGCCUGCAGUCUGACCCACGAAGGCCGAAGCACCGGAGCUCCGCAGCCCCGACUUCAAGAAAAUCCCCUCCUGCUGCCGACGUUGCACGGCUCAGGCUGCCCCCAUCCUCCACAACGCCUGGCACUGGGAUCAACCCGUCCUCGAUGCCCUCCUGCACCGCAGCCCCAGUGCUUCCCAGCUCUUCUCUUCUCCCCUUCUUAAGAACAGAGCAGGGUUUCCCUUUUCCAGUCACCAGCCGGAAACCCGGCCUGACAGAGGCAACU